UUUCGCAAUGCCCGAAAGGGUGACGAAGCGACGCCGCGUGAGUGAGGAAGGCCUUCGGGUUGUAAAGCUCUGUCAGGAGUUAAGAAAUAUAAGUGUGCUAAUACCACAUUUAUCUGACAAGAGCUCCAAAGGAAGCCACGGCUAACUCUGUGCCAGCAGCCGCGGUAAUACAGAGGUGGCAAGCGUUGUUCGGAAUUAUUGGGCGUAAAGAGCACGUAGGUGGGUUUGUAAGUCAGAUGUGAAAGCCUUCUGUUCAACGGAAGAAUUGCAUCUGAAACUGCGAGUCUUGAGUGUAGGAGGGGAGAAUGGAACUUCUGGUGGAGCGGUGAAAUGCGUAGAUAUCAGAAGGAACGCCGGCGGCGAAAGCGAUUCUCUGGCCUAUUACUGACACUCAGUGUGCGAAAGCUAGGGGAGCAAACGGGAUUAGAUACCCCGGUAGUCCUAGCUGUAAACGAUGGGCACUAAGUAGAGGGGUUUUA
rnacentral:rRNA from 1 species